CGCAAGUGUAUUCCUAUACUGUUGCGUUUAAAUAGCUCGUAGUUGGAUCUGCGUGUUUAGCGCGCGGUGCUGCUUUCUUGCAGCUACUGUGACGCGACACUGUACGCUGACUACAUACUUCGUAAGUACGUAGACAGCAAGUUUACUUUGAACAAAUCAGAGUGCUCAAAACGGGCGUUUCGCUCGAAUGUCCUUGCAUGGAAUAAUAGAAUAGGACCGCGCGUUCUAUUUUGUUGGUUUUCGGGACGCGGGUAAUGAUUAAGAGGGACAGACGGGGGCAUUUGUACUGCGACGUGAGAGGUGAAAUUCUUGGAUCGUCGCAAGACAGACUACUGCGAAAGCAUUUGCCAAGAAUGUUUUCAUUAA
rnacentral:rRNA from 1 species